UUACAGCCAUAUCACGUCGAAACACUGGUUCUCGUAUGAUCACCAAUGUUAAACAACGUCGAUCCAGGUCAGUACAUAGAUGGGUGACAGCCCAGGAAUACCAGUUGUUGUAAG